rnacentral:lncRNA from 1 species
AAUUCUGCUAGACUUUUUCCGUUGCUACGCAACAACUUAUCAAUCUCAGCAAGAGUCAAAAUUUUCAACUCAUCAUAUUUUAACUGCAAAAUUACAAAUAUAAAAAUUAAAAGCUAUAAUUAGUUAUAAAUUCUAACUAACAUAUAAUAGUUAUAUAUGAUUUAAUUUGAUUUUUAAUAGUGACUUAAUUUGAUUUUUAUAUGACUUAAUUUGAUUUUUAAUAGUGAUUUAAUUUAAUUUAAUAGUGUUAAUUUGAUUUAAUUUGAUUUUUAAUAGUGAAUUUUAAUAGUGACUUAAUUUGAUUUUUAUAUGACUUAAUUUGAUUUUGAUUUUUAAUACUGAUUUUUAAUAGUGACUUAAUUUGAAUUUUAUAUGACUUAAUUUGAUUUUUAAAAGUGAUUUUGUCACGCCCCGGAUAUCUCGUUCCCCGGGCACGCCGACAAAUCCGCCGUAUACAAAGAAAUUUCCCUUGUAUACGAAGCGUCAAAGCACCUGUAGAAAUACGAUACUACAAACAGUAGCAUAGAGCUGCUCAAAAAAACUAAAUAACUGAGUUUCAUACACAUAGCUAGAAUCCAAAAUACAAGGUUACUCUCACUGGCGAGUUAAACAACUAUGUACAUAAACUCCAAAACAACAACUACCUGCAGUAGUGGAAAGCCUCUAGCUCUGACUGUCGGGUAGGGCUCUAGCUCGCAACGCCCUUGCCUCGAUCCUGGUCGGCGGAAGAUGCAGCAGCCGGGACCUGUGGCUCUGCAAAACAGGAGUAACAACUGGGCGUGAGAACUACUGUAAAAACAGAUAGU